GCGAGACCAGGAAAUCCUGACGAGGGCGGGCACCCGCUGAAUGAAGAAAGUAGAACGGUUGUGCUAUUUCCUGUUUACUUCACGGUAGUUACCUUAGCGGUCACCAUUGUUACCGAAACACCAGGUUCGAUAGUUCUCUGCUUCUUACCCUUUUGGUGAUCUUGGCAAAGGACACCAUGUUAGAGGGUGACACUUUGGCCUCAGACAUCAUCCGUUUUCUGCUGGCAUAGUAUGAAUCUCAUCAAGUGCAGUCUUAGCUCCUGUCUCAGCCAGGCGGGCAGAGGAUGCCCCAGUUUGUGCAGCAGCUUGGAGAGUUCCACGUUGUGAUCACGAUAGUAGCUGGACAGAAAUGCUCUGCUCUGGGGCCAGAGGAGGAGAUGAAAGGAUAUUUCAUUUUGAUUGUCAAAGUAUAUACUUUGUAUACUUGGACAAUAUUUAAAUCUGUAUCAAGUACGUGGUACUGGUUUAAAACUGGUGUAAAGCAUAUGGACUGUUAAUUUAGCACAAUAUAAACACAGGGACUCUGUUCUUCAAAAUACAUACUUUGCACAUAUAACGCUGUUUUUACUAGGGAAUGGGCUUUCCUAUCAGGUAUGUGACCUAUCUGUGCAGAGUUAAAUGUUAAAACAACUAGACUGAGUUGCUAGAAAUAUAGCUGUAGCAACUGACUGGGCCUAAUAUUACGCUCUAUUAAAAUCAUCCUGGCUUUGGAGAAAGAGCUGAUUUGGUAAAUCUAUAAAAUCAAAUAUUCUUUUGUCAUCAUUAAUUUACAUUUAGAUUUUAAAUAUAAUAUUUUCUUAAGAGAUCUUUUAAGGCAUAUAUACAAAGUACUCACUGCUAAAACAGUACUUUGGUAAACCUUAAAAAAAUGUAGUAGGUAAACCUGUAACCUGGUAUGUUUUAUUAUUUGACACAAGGAAGGGAAGGAAUACCCUGCAAACUGUUCUGACUCACACAGAGGCAGAUUUCCCUUCAAUAAAGACAAAUAACUGAAAUGGUCAGAAGUGGAAAGUGCUGAUGGCAUUUAGUGGGGUUUAUAUGCAGUGUAGAUGACGUUACUAGGAAUGUUGUGAAGGGGGAUUUCUGCAUCUGUAUCUGUAACCUCCCUGCUUUAGACUAUUCUGAGGUUUUUUAAUUGAGCUGAAUCUUUAAGAAGUUUUUAUUUAAUUCCUUGUGUGCUGUUUGUUUUAAACACAUAGAGAAACAUUUCACCUUGUAUUGAUAAUUUCACUAUAACAUAGUGAUUUUUGCCGUAAUUAUGAUCAUUGGAACGAGACUGAACAUUUGUACUAUAUUCUAACAUUACUGUGAUCAAGGGAGAACCCAAACCUUUGUGUAGUUUAUGCAUCAGUCUGUCUCAUUUCUCUGUUUCUGGUCUUCAGUCAUUAGCUCUAAACCACUGACAAGCCCAGCUGGCAGACCCAGGCCAGGGAACGGUAUGGAUAAAUGAUAUUUCCCAGAUACCCCACCCAGGGGCCUGCUCAUCCUAUGCCCUUUUUGCUGCCAGCCAGGUCUGGACUCCAUGAAUGAGCUCUAGGUCUUAAUGCAGAGUCUGAGUUUUGAAUUUACCCACUGUGUUCUCUCUUACCAUCUCACUUUGCAUUGUUCCUCUUUACAAUGGAAGCCUUGUUUAGAAAAAUAGCAGCCCAGGGCUGCCCAGCUCCUGCCAGCUUGCCCCCUAAUAUUUCCCAUAUGGCAAAGGAUUAUCCAACAUCUUAACUAACUUUAGAAUUGAACCUUCUGGGUCUAUAUAUACUACACAUCCCUUUGGCUCAUACCUUUUAAUACUGAGGAUUAUCUUACCUCAAUUUAUUGGCCUUUUUGGCAUUAUCUUCAAACCUUGCUGCUGAUAUCAGGGCUGCUUUUGUAGUCACCCCCUGGUCCUGUGCCCCAUUAUGUGUGUAUGUCUGUCCUCAUAAUCAUGUCCCCAUAAUCAAGUACCCCUUCCUCUUGUUGCUCUGCUCCCUCAUGCGGCAAGAUAACUGAUAACAGGAUUUGCAAAGUACACCAUGCCCUAUUUGAGAGUCUAAUAUGCUCAGGCCAGAACUUACUAGGACAGAAAUCAGUGAUGUGCAGGAUUCAUCGUACACACAUUACCUGAUGAUCAUUCAAAGAGGGGACUAUUUUAGAUGGUGAGAUCACAGAUAAUAUAUAUGCUAAUGUAUGCUAAUGUAGUCUACUUCAUGAAAACUCGUGAAAUUAAUGUAAUAAGAGGGAAUAAUAAUAAUAUAUACUUUUAUCAUAUAAAAUAUGAUAAGAUAAGGAAUCACAUAGUAACUUCAAUUAUCAGGUUGUUUAUUGUUUAAAGAAUCUAUCAAAUGCUUUUGAUUUGAAGAGGUGAUAGACUUAGUGGUUAAUAUAAAAUGUCAGUUUUUAUUCCUUUCGUGUAAUAUAUUUUGAUCAACAAAGUCAGAGUGGAAGCAGGCCAACAACGUUCUUAAUUUCCAGGAUGAAAUGCAUCCUUUGAUGUUUUAGAGAUAGUUGUAGGGAAGGGUGCUGGUGUUUUUCUGUAGUAGAAGGAGAACAAGCAGUGUGGUGACAGUUCUGCCUACUCUGAUGUUCCACACGUUUGUUUCCAGUACCUCCAUGAAGUGUCCUGAGAGGUCACUAUUUGCACAAAAUCAGCUACUCUACUCCCUCAAGUAAACCUAGUAUGUAU